UUGGAACGCUACGAACGUCAGCAGCUCCAGGCUUCCCAUUUUUCGAGGGCGCAUGUCGCCGUUCCUGAACAGAAGUUGCAGGCGUGGCGGCGCUGGCAGGCAGACCAGCUCAAAGCCCCAAUAGAUCCAUCAUCAAUCAGCAGGGAUUUUCCGGUUCUACUGCUGCAAAGUGCCAUGCUAGGAAUCCGGACCGCACUCAGCCUCAUGAGUGGGGCUACUUGUGGGUUUCAAUUGUAGGAUGCUAACUUCCAUAGCCUGUCCAUGAGCCCAGGUCGACUUCGCAUGCUGCGCCAAUUCGUCUGUCAAAGCACUUGUAUUAAUUCCAAUCCCCGCUCCCAUUUUUUCAUUGCCCAUCACUUAUGCGAUCAAGUGUUCCUUUCAGCAUCACUGUUGUGCUCAAUUGUGAAGUCGGCUAGUUGCCACUCUGGUUCUAUUGCCUUCGUUUUCCUGUCUGAACCUAAACUGUCUACGGUUUCCUACCUACAAAUCAGCUGUUCUCCUAGAAUCCUAGUGUGUUUCUGUAACGAUCAGGGCCACCGUAGCACGCAGUUAGUUUGGAGAGGUCUAGCACACUCGGAAUCAUUCCACCAAUCCUCCUCCCUGCUUACUUGUAUACCGCACUUUCACGUAUCGCUCAAGUUCGGUGGCGGUGACUUGCGGAGGGUGAAGGCUCGUAGCAUUCGUCAUCAUGGUGCAUCAAGACAACAGCGGGUCUGGGUUGCGGUUGUUUAACCAUCCUAAUCCACCUCCCAACAACAACCGGCCCGCUCCCAAUCCCCCAGUGGUGCGCAAUCCCUCCGGCGGACGCACUCCUCAUCCUUACCCUCCCCCUCCCCACAAUUAUAACGGUUACCCCAACUAAGCCACUUGUUGUGCUCCAAUGAGGACUUCUCAAGUGGCGGAGAGAAUGUGCAGCACUGAACCUACCACAAUUUUGGCUGCUGGGCUUGCUUCCGCACUAGUGAAAAGGAUUCAAGCUACAGCGUAUUUUGUACUUUCAGAUUAGUAGGAAAUGAGAAGCAAUUUUUUUCCCGAGGCUUUUCUGAAGUUAAGUCACUUCUGGGAGUGGAAACACUUCAUGGUGUGCGCGACGACUAGGAUUAUAGACAUCUUCGAGUACAGCCAACUUGAUACACCUAGUCUCUCGUUGAACUUCGAAUCUAUUCAAUUUGCUUUUUCGAGCUUGGACUCAAUGCACUACCAUAGUGCAAUUGGAAACCGGAAAUUCUUUACCGCUGAGAUUCAUUUUGAAUAUUUUCUUGGCAAUAUAAUUAUCUCGUAUAUUAUCGUAAGCGAA